AAGAGACAGCAGUCGCCGCGGUAAUACGAAGGGGGCUAGCGUUGCUCGGAAUGACUGGGCGUAAAGGGCGCGUAGGCGGCACAUACAGUCAGAAGUGAAAUUCCUGGGCUCAACCUGGGGACUGCUUUUGAUACGUGUGAGCUAGAGUGAGGAGGAGGGUUGUGGAAUUUCCAGUGUAGAGGUGAAAUUCGUAGAUAUUGGAAAGAACACCGGUGGCGAAGGCGGCAACCUGGUCCUUUACUGACGCUGAGGCGCGAAAGCGUGGGGAGCAAACAGGAUUAGAUACCCCCGUAGUCCCUGUCUCUUAUAC
rnacentral:rRNA from 1 species